rnacentral:rRNA from 1 species
GAUGAACGCUGGCGGCGUGCCUAAUACAUGCCAGUCGAGCGAACAGACGAGGAGCUUGCUCCUCUGACGUUAGCGGCGGACGGGUGAGUAACACGUGGAUAACCUACCUAUAAGACUGGGAUAACUUCGGGAAACCGGAGCUAAUACCGGAUAAUAUAUUGAACCGCAUGGUUCAAUAGUGAAAGACGGUUUUGCUGUCACUUAUAGAUGGAUCCGCGCCGCAUUAGCUAGUUGGUAAGGUAACGGCUUACCAAGGCAACGAUGCGUAGCCGACCUGAGAGGGUGAUCGGCCACACUGGAACUGAGACACGGUCCAGACUCCUACGGGAGGCAGCAGUAGGGAAUCUUCGCAAUGGGCGAAAGCUUGACGGAGCAACGCCGCGUGAGUGAUGAAGGUCUUCGGAUCGUAAAACUCUGUUAUUAGGGAAGAACAAAUGUGUAAGUAACUAUGCACGUCUUGACGGUACCUAAUCAGAAAGCCACGGCUAACUACGUG